CAGUAUAUAGUUUAAUGUAAAAUAUAGAUUUUGGAUAUCUAAGAUGUGCAAAUACAUUAUAUUGA
rnacentral:tRNA from 1 species